rnacentral:rRNA from 1 species
AUUGAACGCUGGCGGCAUGCUUUACACAUGCAAGUCGAACGGCAGCGCGGGCUUCGGCCUGGCGGCGAGUGGCGAACGGGUGAGUAAUGCAUCGGAACGUGCCCAGUAGUGGGGGAUAGCCCGGCGAAAGCCGGAUUAAUACCGCAUACGACCUGAGGGUGAAAGCGGGGGACCGAAAGGCCUCGCGCUAUUGGAGCGGCCGAUGUCGGAUUAGCUAGUUGGUGGGGUAAAGGCUUACCAAGGCGACGAUCCGUAGCUGGUCUGAGAGGACGACCAGCCACACUGGGACUGAGACACGGGCCAGACUCCUAAGGGAGGCAGCAGUGGGGAAUUUUGGACAAUGGGGGCAACCCUGAUCCAGCCAUGCCGCGUGCGGGAAGAAGGCCUUCGGGUUGUAAAACGCUUUUGUUCGGGAAGAAAUCCUCUGGGCUAAUACCCCGGGGGGAUGACGGUACCGGAAGAAUAAGCACCGGCUAACUACGUG